rnacentral:lncRNA from 10 species
GUCCUGGCGGAAGGACCAGUGCAGAGCAAGAAUCCUCAAGCCGUAUCUUCUUUAUUAUUUUGAUUUCUUAACCACAAGACUGUAUAUUACUUAUUACAAACCCAAAAAAGAAAGAAGGAAAACAGGGAAGAAAGGAAAAAGAAAAGAACCCAGGCUGGCUCACAGGGGGAGAAGGGGCUGGGGAUGCUAACGGGGAAUUACGUCCCAACGCAACGCUAAGGAGUCUGGACUCGAGGUGCAGGCAUUGGGGGGCUGAUGGAUUCUUGGCAGGAAAAGAACAUAGUCCCAACGUCUGCCUGUCAAGUGAGCGAGAAAGAGUCUGCAGUGCUGAGAAGACAGAGCUGUUUAAAAAUAAAUGUUUUAAAUGUGCACCUGUUGUAUGAAAUGGAGUGCAAAAUUAAAGACAUUUUUAAAAGCACACAUUCGUUGAGAGGACGUCAACGAAUCUAUUUGUUGGGCUGAAUCCUUCCCCAGCAUCCCUGGGGCAGCCGUGAUCCACACAGGGCACUAAGCCCUGGGGCAAGGGAGGUGGCAGGACAGACUGACCCACAGAUGGACGUGCAGAGAAGCAGCCUGCCCCAUGCACUUGAAGGAGGAAAAGACAACGCAUAUUUGCCACAAAUGUUUACUAGCAGCCCAUCCUCUCACACCGAGGCAUUUUAAAAUUAUUGAGUAAACUCAUUCUCAACUCAAUGAUCAAAGAUCACAUUUGUCCCCGAGAAGAAAGGUGCCAGCUGCAUCAAACAUAACUUUGAAAAAUGCCUGCAGCUGAGACAUCAUGACGGCCACACAUCUCUCUGAAAGCUUUUUGUUUUGCCAGGUGAGGAAAGAAGUCGGAAGAGAGGAAGACGGAAGAAAUCGCUGCUCAGCGCAUCCGUGUGAGGUCCCGGGUAUUCUGUGAGGAAAGGCUGGCGCAGGCCCGCCGCGCCCUCGGCCUCGGGGAAGGAGGUGAACACAGAAGGGGGUGCCGGGCCCACGGCUGAGACACCUGAGAGGACGCCUGCAGCCCGGGUGACCACAGCAGGGGCUUGGGUGAGGCCCGGGGCCCAGGUCUCUGGAAGUGAGGGAGGGUUUCAGAGGAGCAUGGUGGGCGGGCCAUUCCCAGAGGAGCCUGCAGCAGGCAGGAUCCGGGGAUCACGGCCAACAUGGCGGCCACGCUGGGAGAGAAGAACCUGGUGGGCGCACAGGACUAGCGGCUGGGCCGCUCUCCCAGGCAGGAGAGUGUCUGGGUCUACACCCUGCAUGGACGGUGCCGGGCGGAGCUGCAGACAGACCCCGGGACCCAAGGCUACGUGUGUAGACACAGGGCUCCGCCAGCCAGACCCAUCCUGGCCGUGGGACAUUGCAAACGGGCUCCCUCUGGCCAUCACCUCUGACCAGACCCAGCCUCUGGGUCUUCUGGAGUCACUGACAUGGUAUGGAAAAUAAAGCUGGGCUUAGGCUCCUGAGGGGGCCUUGGCAUUCGCCACCCACCGCCAGGACGAGCUCCCGAAGACCCGCGGGGGUUCAACACCAGCUCCAUCACCAUGCAUGCACCAGCUGACGCCGGGGAGCGGCCAGGUCCCAGGGCAGGGGCGAGAGAGUCAGCCCCACCCCCGCCCCGCCCCCACCCCCCAAAUUCUGGGAAAGUGCUGGGCCCCCUGGCCUGCGUUUUGGCUGCGGCUUCAUUUACACGCAGCUGUUUCUCCAAGGUGCCUCCAGCAGAAUUUCAGACGAAUUCUCCCACGAAAUAUUUUCCCCUUGAAAAGUGUUAGGUAAUUAACACCCCCCAGGUCACCAGCGGCACAGUCCCGGCGAGACAGCCACCAGGAAGGUGAAGGCGAGAAGAGCUCUCCACUAGCGUCAGCGGCAAACCAGGGGACCGGGGGGCAGGAAGCCCGAGCCCCCCUCGUGCCUGUUUUCAGUCUAAUUUCCUUUUCUAAGAAGCAUUUAUUCUGACAUAGAUAAGAAGGUUUCCUCAUGCAGAAAAACAAAAAGAACAACAAAUGG